CUAAAGCGUUAAGGAUAUAAGCGGUAUCCUUUUUUUCUUUUUCUACAAAAAAGACCCGCCUGCCGACAGACAGGUACCGCGGAUAGCCUGACCUUAU
rnacentral:misc_RNA from 1 species